rnacentral:lncRNA from 1 species
CUCCAGCCUGGGUAACAAAAACGAAACUCCGUCUCAAAAAAAAAAAAAGAAAAAAAAAAAGAAGAAGAAGGUGAAAGUGAUGCUUCGACACCUGUAAUUAAGCAAAUAUUUUUUUUCCCUUGUUUGUCAGAAAAUUGGGGGCCAGGAGGAUGCUGGUGAUUGCUAAGCAAAACUUCUAAUUUAUUGAAAAGGCUAUGGAGCCCAGAAAAGUUUCUCAUCUCCACACCUGUAGAGAGGGGCUCACAGGACCAUGUAAGGCUGGACCCUGCACUGGUGGCACCAUUAUAUACCAGAACAUUUUUUCUCUCAGCGUGAUGAAACCUCGCACUGGCCUGCUUUGUCCCAUGAGAGAUGUGAAUCCUUCCUUUGUCCAGCAUGUCCACACUGUCUCCACUCACCACUAGUGACUCACUCAGUAGCCCUCUCAAUGAUCAUCUCGCAUCAUCACAAGAAG